rnacentral:lncRNA from 10 species
AUCAACUCUAAAUACUUCUUUACAGGAAAAUUGAAAGCAGUUAAGAACCUGCCCCCUACCGUGGAGUUCUUGGUGCCGUGAGUUGGAGUUCUUGGUGCCUGGGUGCGUCCCCAAGGCCACUGGUCUUCAGAUCUUUCUUACUUGAGAAGAACGCCUCCGCCUCCUGGCUCUCCCACCAGUGGUAUUGCCACCACCACACACCAGCAUAAAGCACAGAUUGCUGCCCAGCUCCUUGGAGAGGGGCCAGUGCAUUUGUCAGGAAUUGAAAAGUUUUGGAGCCAGUUCGAGGACUUUCUCCUGCACAAAGUGUUGGCUGGAAGCAUGAAGCAAUAACACAUGGUUUGCCAAAGAAUCUGCAUUGAAUAAUACUGGUGGUGACCACAAGAACAUGCCUCUCUGACUGCAAGGAACAAGAGUGACCCAGGGUUUCAGCUGCUGCCUUGGAAAUUCAUCACAGUGCAAGUCUAUGCUUCCCACGGGCUGCUCCCAGCCUGUGAAUAAGCCUGGCAUCUUUGUUGAGGCAGGCCUAUUUCUGGAGAUGCAGGAUCCUCCGAUGGGCGAAUUUGGCUCUAGGACUGCUUGAUGGCCUUGACAGACUUUCCUUAGAAAUGCAUGGCAAUUUAGGGUUCCUCCACCCUUCCCUCUUUCUCUCCUUCACCUAGGGUCGGACUUGCAUCAUGGCCUGAAAGCUCCACCAGCCUCUCCUGCCCUCCUCCUCAUUUUCUUUCACAGGCAUAUCCUCUAAUAAAUUUCUUGCACAUUGAA